GGGAUGGCGGCGGCUACCAUGCAGUCGAGCGGAACGAGUUAUCUGAACCUUCGGGGACGAUAACGGCGUCGAGCGGCGGACGGGUGAGUAAUGCCUAGGAAUUGCCUUGAUGUGGGGGAUAACCAUUGGAAACGAUGGCUAAUACCGCAUAAUGCCUACGGGCCAAAGAGGGGGACCUUCGGGCCUCUCGCGUCAAGAUAUGCCUAGGUGGGAUUAGCUAGUUGGUGAGGUAAUGGCUCACCAAGGCGACGAUCCCUAGCUGGUCUGAGAGGAUGAUCAGCCACACUGGAACUGAGACACGGUCCAGACUACUACGGGAGGCAGCAGUGGGGAAUAUUGCACAAUGGGCGCAAGCCUGAUGCAGCCAUGCCGCGUGUAUGAAGAAGGCCUUCGGGUUGUAAAGUACUUUCAGCAGUGAGGAAGGGGGUGUCGUUAAUAGCGGCAUCUCUUGACGUUAGCUGCAGAAGAAGCACCGGCUAACUCCGUGCCAGCAGCCGCGGUAAUACGGAGGGUGCGAGCGUUAAUCGGAAUUACUGGGCGUAAAGCGCAUGCAGGUGGUUUGUUAAGUCAGAUGUGAAAGCCCGGGGCUCAACCUCGGAACUGCAUUUGAAACUGGCAAACUAGAGUACUGUAGAGGGGGGUAGAAUUUCAGGUGUAGCGGUGAAAUGCGUAGAGAUCUGAAGGAAUACCAGUGGCGAAGGCGGCCCCCUGGACAGAUACUGACACUCAGAUGCGAAAGCGUGGGGAGCAAACAGGAUUAGAUACCCUGGUAGUCCACGCCGUAAACGAUGUCUACUUGGAGGUUGUGGCCUUGAGCCGUGGCUUUCGGAGCUAACGCGUUAAGUAGACCGCCUGGGGAGUACGGUCGCAAGAUUAAAACUCAAAUGAAUUGACGGGGGCCCGCACAAGCGGUGGAGCAUGUGGUUUAAUUCGAUGCAACGCGAAGAACCUUACCUACUCUUGACAUCCAGAGAACUUUAGCAGAGAUGCUUUG
rnacentral:rRNA from 1 species